rnacentral:rRNA from 1 species
GACGAACGCUGGCGGCGUGCUUAACACAUGCAAGUCGAACGGAAAGGCCCUGCUUUUGUGGGGUGCUCGAGUGGCGAACGGGUGAGUAACACGUGGGUAACCUGCCCUUGACUUUGGGAUAACUUCAGGAAACUGGGGCUAAUACCGGAUAGGAGCUCCUGCUGCAUGGUGGGGGUUGGAAAGUUUCGGCGGUUGGGGAUGGACUCGCGGCUUAUCAGCUUGUUGGUGGGGUAGUGGCUUACCAAGGCUUUGACGGGUAGCCGGCCUGAGAGGGUGACCGGCCACAUUGGGACUGAGAUACGGCCCAGACUCCUACGGGAGGCAGCAGUGGGGAAUAUUGCACAAUGGGCGGAAGCCUGAUGCAGCAACGCCGCGUGCGGGAUGACGGCCUUCGGGUUGUAAACCGCUUUCGCCUGUGACGAAGCGUGAGUGACGGUAAUGAGUAAAGAAGCACCGGCUAACUACGUG